AUUGAACGCUGGCGGCUUGCCUUACACAUGCAAGUCGAACGGUAACGCGGGGCAACCUGGCGACGAGUGGCGAACGGGUGAGUAAAGCAUCGGAACGUGCCCAGUAGUGGGGGAUAGCCCGGCGAAAGCCGGAUUAAUACCGCAUACGACCUAUGGGUGAAGGGGGGGAUCGCAAGACCUCUCGCUGUUGGAGCGGCCGAUGUCAGAUUAGGUAGUUGGUGGGGUAAAGGCCUACCAAGCCGACAAUCUGUAGCUGGUCUGAGAGGACGACCAGCCACACUGGGACUGAGACACGGCCCAGACUCCUACGGGAGGCAGCAGUGGGGAAUCUUGCGCAAUGGGCGAAAGCCUGACGCAGCGACGCCGCGUGGAGGAUGAAGGUCUUCGGAUUGUAAACUUCUGUUAAGUGGGAAGAAAACCUUAGUUCUAAUAAAGCUAGGGCAUGACGGUACCAUUAAAGAAAGCACCGGCUAACUACGUGCCAGCCGCCGCGGUAA
rnacentral:rRNA from 1 species